rnacentral:rRNA from 1 species
UACGGAGGGUGCGAGCGUUGUCCGGAAUCACUGGGCGUAAAGGGCGCGUAGGCGGUGCGAGAAGCGUGUGGUGAAAGGCCGGGGCUCAACCCCGGCUCGGCCCGUGCGGACUCUCGCGCUUGGUGAGUGCUGUAGAGGCGGGCGGAAUUCCGGGUGUAGCGGUGGAAUGCGUAGAGAUCCGGAAGAACACCGGUGGCGAAGGCGGCCCGCUGGGCAGUGACUGACGCUGGAGGCGCGACAGCGUGGGGAGCAAA